UGGACAGAUUAUUGUAUUCGACUGUAUUUGACUGUAUUCACGGCGUGAAACAGGGGAUUACACUAUUUUUAAACGAAAAAUGAAUCAAUUAACAUAAUAGACUCCU
rfam:Nicotiana attenuata strain TT scaffold03089, whole genome shotgun sequence.